rnacentral:rRNA from 1 species
UACAGAGGUCUCAAGCGUUGUUCGGAUUCAUUGGGCGUAAAGGGUGCGUAGGCGGCGCGGUAAGUCGGGUGUGAAAUCUCGGAGCUUAACUCCGAAACUGCAUUCGAUACUACCGUGCUUGAGGACUGGAGAGGAGACUGGAAUUUACGGUGUAGCGGUGAAAUGCGCAGAUAUCAGGAAGAACACCUAUGGCGAAGGCAGCUCUCUGGGACGGUACUGACGCUGAGACGCGAAAGCGUGGGGAGCGAACAGG